CAAGGAAAAACUUUGUCAGUUACCUCUACCUAUUAAAAUAUAAUGAUAGGUUUUUUCAAGUUUUGUAAUUACAAGUUUUGUAAAACUUGUGUGAAUAAUACAUGAUAUUUAUUUGUUUAAAAUAUAAUGAUGUAGGAAUCAAUUUUUUAUAUGUGAUUUUCUUUCUUGGUAAUCAAAAAGUUAACUUGCAUGUUUGAUUGUUUUGGAGAUUUUUUGUCUUAAUGAGUGAUUCACCUUUGUUUAGAACCCUCCCAAGCUGGCUACUCCUCUAUUUGAUACUAAAAUGGCAGAGGACCCUAAGAUGACAUACAUAGACCUAGAUAAUCUUCAAAUUGUGUUUUGAACGAAGAGUGUUUGGUCUUGCAUUGUGAUGGCGUCUGAGUGUUGGCUUGGUCUCUGUUGGCUUGCUACAUAUCUAGAAAGCUCCAUGAUUUGUGCUAAGCUCAAAAUAUCAGUAGAUUUGUUGUGGUAGUGCCUUAACAGGAUUUGAGACUUCUCCAUUCAGGAAAAGACAAGUCCGGUAGAUAUAAAAAUUACAAGAUUGCAAGUUUGGAUUGAAGGUCACAAGAAAAAAAAUGGGGAGCCUAGUACUCAAGCUGUUGGAGAGAAAAUAGUAAGCAUGUCCACUCAUUUUAGAUUCCUUUAGUAUUUUAUUUCACUGAUCUUGUUUUUCAUAAGAAUUUAUACUUAAGAUCUCUAUUUAUACAGCCUAAAAUGUUUUUUCUGUACCUCCUUGUACAUGUGUUCAAGCUGUUUUUUACUUGUGAGUUGGUACAU